GAUGAACGCUGACAGAAUGCUUAACACAUGCAAGUCAACUUGAAUUUGGGUUUUUAACUUAGGUUUGGGUGGCGGACGGGUGAGUAACGCGUAAAGAACUUGCCUCACAGUUAGGGACAACAUUUGGAAACGAAUGCUAAUACCUAAUAUUAUGAUAAUAGGGCAUCCUAUAAUUAUGAAAGCUAUAAGCGCUGUGAGAGAGCUUUGCGUCCCAUUAGCUAGUUGGAGAGGUAACGGCUCACCAAGGCGAUGAUGGGUAGCCGGCCUGAGAGGGUGAUCGGCCACAAGGGGACUGAGACACGGCCCUUACUCCUACGGGAGGCAGCAGUGGGGAAUAUUGGACAAUGGACCAAGAGUCUGAUCCAGCAAUUCUGUGUGCACGAUGAAGUUUUUCGGAAUGUAAAGUGCUUUCAGUUGGGAAGAAAGAAAUGACGGUACCAACAGAAGAAGUGACGGCUAAAUACGUGCCAGCAGCCGCGGUAAUACGUAUGUCACGAGCGUUAUCCGGAUUUAUUGGGCGUAAAGCGCGUCUAGGUGGUUAUGUAAGUCUGAUGUGAAAAUGCAGGGCUCAACUCUGUAUUGCGUUGGAAACUGUAUAACUAGAGUACUGGAGAGGUAAGCGGAACUACAAGUGUAGAGGUGAAAUUCGUAGAUAUUUGUAGGAAUGCCGAUGGGGAAGCCAGCUUACUGGACAGAUACUGACGCUGAAGCGCGAAAGCGUGGGUAGCAAACAGG
rnacentral:rRNA from 1 species